AGCGCCCCCUAGAGGGCCGCCGCCGAGCGGACGGAAACAAACGUGGGUUAUUGAUCCCUUGUGUCUCUGGAGGACUCGGAGGAACGCGCUUGAGACAAAGGCGUGCAGUGCGAGCCUGUGAAUACAUCUACUCAGAAGUAAGCCCCAUUGAACUCAGUGAGGCUUACUCCCAGGUGUAUAAGAUCGUAGCCUGUAUAGUCUUUCCCCCAUUGUCCUCCUCCCCCCCCCAUCAUCCCUGAUCAGUGGUCCUGCUGGCUAGGGGUAAAAGAAGUUGGAGUCCAACAACAGCUGGAACAUCCUCCCUCCCCAAGAUUGGGAAAGGCUGGUUUAGGCAGUCAGCCUGCAGAAAGCCCCGUUUUCUUUUGUAGUUUGCAGAGGGAAACAAAGCAUCCCUUAUUACAUCUGUGUCCACACUAGCUGCAGUUAUUUUAUGCCCUUCAGAUUUGUCACACAUAUCUGUUAAUCGCUUUUCUUGCAAAGAUGGAAGUGACAAAUAUAAAAAUCAAUGAAAAUCAAUAAUAAAAACACAACUUGGGACAAGCUUUUUGGGGCGUGGGGGAAGGCAACAUGAUGCUUCCAGUUCUUCCAGAGUGCUACAGGAAAAAAGACUUGCAAAUCCUGUGCCCUCAAAACUUAUUACAUGGUGUAGAAAUUAAACAAGUUAAAUUUUUCCCUGCGCAUCUCAAGUCUGUUGAAUUUUUGUCUUUUAAAGGUACAGACAUCCCAACAGAAAAGGGAUUUGAACCUUGCAGGAUCUGUUAUCUUACCUUAAUUAAAAAAAUAAUAAAUAGAAUGUACUUUUCAGAGUACUGCAAUGAAAACUUCUACCUUCUCUGUACCUGGAAACUAUACCCUUCAGAGACUUACAAUUUCCAGCACCCUUAAACUUCUCAGGAUUCUUUCAGGGAAGCCAUGUGUUUUAAAUGGAUGGUGUAGAUGUGACCAGUUUUAUUUAAAUGUUCUGAUUGCAUUUACAGUGAUUCCUGCGUACUUCUACCACACUUGCCCAGAUGUGGAGAAUUCUGCAAUUGGCAGCUGGGAGUGAGACCUGUGUGGAUAUCCUUUUUAAAAGAUCCUAGUUUGAAACCUCUUCUGUUUAGAAUUUCCCACCUUUCUAAAUAUUGUAAACAAUAUUUUCAUUCUACUUGAGUUGGCUCUGCAGCUUAACAGGAAAUAAGUGGUGCCCUCUAAAUUCUUCAAUAUGUAAAUUUCACAGUAUCUGCCCAAAAGGUUUAUCCAUAUAUGAACUGACCCAGACCCUGCAAUCCUCAUCUGAGGCUCUUCUUCAUGUCCCUACUCCACAAGAGUCAGAGAUUUCUUCUAGAGCCUUUUAAUGAUCAUUGCUCUAGUAUGGCAGAAGCACUGUGCUAGAGGGAGAAUAAAAACCAGCACUCUUACUGUAAAGAGAGGCUCCCUGAGGGCAGAAUUGCAGAGAAGGCCUAAGAACUCUUCACCAGUUCUCCCCUGCAAGUACUGCUCCUGUCCCCAUAUUAUCUUGGCAAACAGGGUUUCUGCUCCAAGAGGAAAGGGUCAUAAACUAACUGGGCCAAAAGGUCUUAGCCCAAGGUAGAGGAGAGG